rnacentral:piRNA from 1 species
UCACAAUAAAUUCACUGAGGG